rnacentral:rRNA from 1 species
AUUGAACGCUGGCGGCAUGCCUUACACAUGCAAGUCGAACGGCAGCACGGGAGCUUGCUCCUGGUGGCGAGUGGCGAACGGGUGAGUAAUACAUCGGAACGUACCCUGAAGUGGGGGAUAACGUAGCGAAAGUUACGCUAAUACCGCAUAUUCUGUGAGCAGGAAAGAGGGGGAGUCGCAAGACCUCUUGCUUUAGGAGCGGCCGAUGUCGGAUUAGCUAGUUGGUGAGGUAAAGGCUCACCAAGGCGACGAUCCGUAGCGGGUCUGAGAGGAUGAUCCGCCACACUGGGACUGAGACACGGCCCAGACUCCUACGGGAGGCAGCAGUGGGGAAUUUUGGACAAUGGGCGCAAGCCUGAUCCAGCCAUGCCGCGUGAGUGAAGAAGG